AUCAAUAUUUGGACAUUAUAGGAAAAUAUUCUACAGGGUUGUGUGAGUGUGGUCCUGAAAGAGUCAAGUUUCCAGUGUCAGACCUAGGAUUCAUGUGUUUACCUGUUAAAUCUUUGACUAUACAGUCUAUGUUCUAUAAAUGUGAUUAAAAUUGUUUUUUUGUUUUUUUUUUUAACCCGCAGAGGGCAGUAUUGCGCCUAGUAGCGCCUAUACCGCUAAAACCCAACCAAGAGGAAGAAGAUAAUUAGACAAAGGGGGAUCAGGUGUGUCAGGUUCCCCCAAAGGUCUGGAUUGUCUGCUGCUCCCGAAAUGUUUGUCAUGUCGCUUGGGUAGGAUACUCUCAGCACACUACUGGUCCCUGGCCAUGGUGGCCUCCUCGUUGAAGCCCCUGUGUCCCCAUCCACAUCUAGCAGUUCUAGGCAUUUAACAAUAGCCAGAGUGGCACUCAAAUGAUCAUGGACUCAACAGUUUUAGAUUUUUGACUGAGUGUGUUCACUUGAGCUUCAGGGAAAAGCCUAAUGAUGGCAUUUUACACUGUUUUUGAAAUUUUAUGCACUGAACAAUAAAUAUUAAGAUGACCUGA